rnacentral:rRNA from 1 species
GAUGAACGCUAGCGACAGGCUUAACACAUGCAAGUCGAGGGGCAGCGGUGGUGAAGGCUUGCCUUUACCAGCCGGCGACCGGCGCACGGGUGAGUAACACGUAUGCAACCUGCCUGCCACAGCCGGAUAAUCGGGAGAAAUUCCGUCUAAUACGGCAUAAUGCAUCGACGGGACAUCCUGUUGGUGCCAAAGGUUGAUUCCGGUGGCGGAUGGGCAUGCGUCGCAUUAGUUAGUUGGCGGUGUAACGGACCACCAAGACGACGAUGCGUAGGGGUUCUGAGAGGAAGGUCCCCCACAUUGGAACUGAGACACGGUCCAA